rnacentral:rRNA from 1 species
CACGGUAGCUGGUCUGAGAGGAUGAUCAGCCACACUGGAACUGAGACACGGUCCAGACUCCUACGGGAGGCAGCAGUGGGGAAUAUUGGGCAAUGGCGCAAGCCUGACCCAGCCAUGCCGCGUGAGUGAUGAAGGCCUUCGGGUCGUAAAGCUCUGUGGGGAGGGAAGAAACCCCUUGCCGAUAAUACCGGCGAGGCUUGACGGUACCUCCUUAGCAAGCACCGGCUAACUCCGUGCCAGCAGCCGCGGUAA